UAGUAGUAGUAGUAAUUAGAAUUAUUAUUAUAAUAAUAGUAAUAGUAAUGAAUCAUGCAAAUUUGCAAGAAUAUCUUUUUUUUCUUCCCCUUCUGCCCAUACAAUCUGGAUUGCAAGGGUUUCUCUCACACUCUCCUUUCGCUUUUGAAAACAUUCCCUUCUUCUCUGUCUCUCUCUCAAAAAAAAUAUAAGAUAGCCAGCCUGGGAGGAGAAGCAGAUGAGGGAGGUUUUGGAAAAGAAAACAUACUGUGGCCUCCAGGCUCCGCUGCUGGCUUGACCUGAAUAUAAGCCGGGGGAGGCUUUUCCAGCUCAUAAAUACGGGCUGAAAAACUCGGUUUAUCUUCAAGUAUAUACGGUAUUUGGUAUAUACUAGGCUAUAGGUAAGUACAUUAGGCUUUAUAAACUACCGGUAUAUGGUAUAUACGUGUAUAAAGGAAACGAGCGGAGAGGAGAGGCUACUUCAUCAGGAAGGGGGGAAUCUUUUUAUCAAAUAUCCCACCGCUGCAACCAAUAUAAAGGAAUCAGCAAAGCGGGGAGGCUAAUUAUAACAGAUUUUCUUUAAAAAUGGUAGCUGCCACCAACCUAAAAUGUUUUUAGGCUUUUUGUUGUCAAAUGUGUCUGAGGCAAACUUCUCCCAUUUCCUGCCCCCAUGGUUUCUGCCCAUGACUCCCAAACUGAUGUUCACUAUGAGGCUUUUCUGUGAUAUUUUAUUGUUGUAUUGCUGGAACUUUUAUAAAGUCUUCUUGAUGGAAAAUAUACACUGUGGAGGCUCUUGAAAGUUGAAAAUAGAAUAAAAAUUUAAAUGGUUACAGACGUUUUUCAGCUUAACUUAGUUGUAUGUUUCAGGUUACUUCACUUAGUUUCAAACUGUUCCAACCAACCAAUCUAUCUAUUAGUCACAAAAAACUCUUGCUCUAUUUGCUGAGAAUAGGCACGAGUUCCCCUGGGUUGUUAAUUAACUCUAACCUAGAGUCCUUCUAUUAACCAGCCCAGUAGUGAGAAACAAUCCUUUGAGUUAUCUUCCCCUCAAGAGAUUCAAACUGCCUCACCUAGCCUGUCAGUUUCCACAGCUUUCAGUUCUCUCUCACACACACUCCCAACUCCAAAACCGAACUGCUCUCUUCAAACACCAAAACAGAACUCCCUUCUUCAAACCCUCCAAACAGAACUGCCUGGAACUUUUUUUCCCCUCUGCACUCUAAGACUUGGCUCCUCCCAUCUGCUCUGGUUGGCCAAUCCUAGGAGUCUCUAAGCUCCUCCCCCUUUCUAACCACACUCAAAAUGGCUGCCUGGCAUUCCUCAACAAAAUGGAUGCCUGCCUCACUCACUGUUACCAAGACUUCAUUCCCGGCCUAAUAGGCCUCCUAGAGUUCUGGAUCACAAGUGAUUUCAACCCUGGGCUUUUGUCCCCCCACCCUUCUUCCUUCUCAGCCCUGGAGAAAGCAGGCCAGAAGAAAAAGCAGGGGACAAAUGCAGUAUUGAAUUUGAGAAAACCAGGUAUUGGAUUACACUUCUCACGCUUCCCACAUACCACCAGAGCAUGGAUGACCUGACAACUCUACAGAGGACUCGGAUCUUUGGGGAGGGAGUUCCAGACCCUGAAAGCACCUAUUAAGAAGGUUGUCUCCCAUGUUUCUGCUAAAUGUUGCUGCGAGAAUUAUGGGACAGAGAGAGAAGAUCUAAAAACAACAACAGGUCCAUGUGAAUAUCUUCUCCAUAGAUGGAAAACCUGGCUAUCCUGCCCAGCACUAUUCAACAAGUGAGAUGCAAUUAGGAACCAGCAUUAGCAAUCUAUUGGCAAUCCUUUCAUGGCAAGAUUAAGAAGUAUUGUUUUAUUGAAGCAUUUAAAUCUGCAUAACCUUUCAGUCUGUCCUUUAAAAUCCAUCGGUGACCAAUCACAAAACAAGCCACAAUAAACGCAGAUGAGAGAAAGUGCAUACUUGAAAAAGAGACAUCUUUCACCACUUGAAGUAGUCACUCUAUUUCUACCUUCACAACCACACAGCUUUGUUGAUGGACAAAUGUAUCUGUUUUAUUUUCCAUGUACGUUUUGUGAACUUUGGUACAUUUUCAUCAAUAAUGAUCAGAAAUGAUUUUUUCACCCAUCCCUAGCUGUGAGGAUAAAGUGGGAGAGAAUGAGAGCCAUGCAUGCCAUCUUGAGUUCACUGGAAGAAAAGCAAUAUAUAAAUAUGGAAAUGAAUAAAGCUGGCAAGCCUCCUGGCUUUCAAAGAACGACAUAGAGUAUAAUAGAGAAUGAGUCUAUCUGCCAAGCUGAUACUGCUACUGGUGGUUUCUGACUAUGACACUACAUUAUAGAGCAGGAUGUUUCUAAUAAUUUCAGAUAUUAGCAAUCAUUAGAGAAGAAAGGCUAUAGGAUUGCAAAAUAGCAUGUAAAAACCAAAAUGAAUGAUAGCAGAAAAGUGAGAGACAUUCACUCUUUAUGACAUCCAACCUACAGUAAGUCAUUUUACAGCAUGGGUGGUAACUCCUAGCAUUCUUCAUCACUAGCAAAGGGAGCCGUGGUGGUCCAAUGGGUUGAACCCUUGUGCCAGCUGAACUGCUGAUCUGAAGACCUAAAGGUCAGCGGUUCAAAUCCAUGAGACAGAGUGAGCUCUUGUCUGCCAGCCCCAGCUUCCCAUGUGGGGACAUGAGAGACGGCUCCUACAGGAUGGUAAUACAUCCAGGUGUCCCCUGGACAAUGCCUCUGUAGACUCUCUCACACCAGAAGCAACUUGCAGUAUAUUCUUAAUUCGCUUUUGACACAAUAAAAAAUCACUAGCAAAGCUGGCUGAGAUUAAUGGGAGAUGUAGUUCAGCUUCUGUGUUACAUGUUAGUCUGGCAUACAUUUCUUACAUGUUUUGUUUGUAGUCUGUUUAUUGAAAGACAUUCAUAUUUUUUCACUGCGCUAUGCAAUAGUACAAUAAUGGCGUUUCUAUUACAUUUAUCAUCUAUAUUGUCUGCAGAGCAUUUUCAAUUUAAUUGAUUAAAACAUUAAUUCAGUAUCAAGUAUUACAAAUAAUUUAUUUGUAGCCUAUCAUGUUCUGCUGAGCACAUCUUCUGUAUCCAAAACACCAUUAAAACCUCUGCCAGUCUUGCUACUUUAUCUUUUGCAAGCCAAAUGUAGAAAUCUGUGAAUGCCUUGACAAUGUAAUUCAUGAAAAUUUUACAGAUAGGUAUUCAUCAGCUUUAUCAUUUUGUUUGGAACCGAUCUUUCACUUGUAGGGUUGUCAGGUGGAUAUGACUCUCUAUCUCUUGUUUUGUAUUGUCUGUCAUGCCAGUCAGAAAUUAGAACAUGCUUUUUUUUAAAGUAAUAAGAUGCCAUUUGUUUUUACUUGUACUCAUAAUUCAUAUGUUGUUAUGGUUAAUUAUAAUUUGCAAAUAAUAUACUUAAAAAUAGAAAAUGGCCCCUAAUAACCCAAUGUUGUUCAUAAUGAUCACCCUGAAGAAGCAUAUAAGAAAUUAAAAGUAGGAAUUGUUCUUUAUUAUCAUAUGUCAUAAAAUUGACUACAACUUAUAGGGACCCUACAAAUGAGAGAUCUCCAAGAGCACUAGUUAUUAACAGCCCUUGUCAUGCUCCAUGAAGACCCUCAAUGUUUACCCCUAGUUAAUCUCUUUUUAGUUGGAGGGAUUCAUAUUAUAUGUACAGUUUCUGGGGUCAGUCUAGACAGCCUCUUUGCAUUUGAAGACUCCGUCACCCUGCCCCUUUAAGAAUCUUCUCAGGGUGGAGCCUCAGACAAGGCACCUCUGGUUCUUGGAAGAGUCAGCCUUUUUUGUGACUGAAAGGUGAAGAGAGAGGAAAGCUGGAAGGUCUACAAAUAGUAAUUCCAGUUGGAGCUGUAUUCAAGUUCAGUUGGAAUUAUUUUUGGGACCAUCUUAGAAACAGUAGAACACCAUACAAGAAAGAGACAAUAAGAAGUAAAGAUUCAAGAGCCUCAGUUCGGCCAGAGCUGUUUCUGCCUCUCAAAGACUUUAUAUCUCCUCAUAAA